AGGGAUAUGACAGAAAGGCGAUGUGUGCCAUUGUAAAUGGUAUUUAUAAGAGUUCAAGUCUCUUUAUUCCUA
rnacentral:tRNA from 1 species